CACGCCCACUAUACUUUGCCACUCAGUUCCAUCUGUAGUUUACCACACCUGCAAUCAAUCUGCCUCAAUCAGCCACAGACUCAAAUAGGCAGCACCUGUGCACACAGCCCUUCCUUUGUUCAAAACCACAUGGAGGAUCUUUGAUGCUGGACAUGCUGUGUUUCCUGCCUUGUGGGCGUUAUUGCUCUAUAAACCACACACCCAAACACGUAACCAUACAAACCUGUAACGUGUCUUCUUGAUAAUGCUUGGAAUAAAGGAAUUGUGGAAUCGAAAGUGAUUGGACAAGAACUGUUCUUACCGACACCUCCACUGGUCUCACGCCAGCCACCCACAACCCUCUACACCUCCUUUUCACUCGUCUUAAAUACAUAGUUGUUUUAAAUAAAGUAAUGCUGGUUGUUUUGCCCAGUUUCAAAGUA